CCAAUAGCGUAUAUUAAAGUUGUUGCAGUUAAAAAGCUCGUAGUUGAAUUUCGGGGUCAGCAAGUUGGUCGUGCCACUGGUAUGCACUGGCUUUGCUGAUUCCUCCUUCUUGAAGAACUGUAAUGCUAUUAAUUUAGUGUUGCAGAGAAACAGGACUGUUACUUUGAAAAAAUUAGAGUGUUUAAAGCAGGCUAACGCUUGAAUACAUUAGCAUGGAAUAAUGAAAUAGGACGUUUGAUCCUAUUUUGUUGGUUUCUAGGAUUGACGUAAUGAUUAAUAGGGAUAGUUGGGGGCAUUAGUAUUCAAUUGUCAGAGGUGAAAUUCUUGGAUUUAUUGAAGACUAACUACUGCGAAAGCAUUUGCCAAGGAUGUUUUCAUUAAUCAAGAACGAAAGUUAGGGGAUCGAAGACGAUCAGAUACCGUCGUAGUCUUAACCAUAAACUAUGCCGACUAGGGAUCGGAUGAUGUUAAUUUUUUAAUGACUCAUUCGGCGCCUUACG
rnacentral:rRNA from 1 species